rnacentral:rRNA from 1 species
UUGCACUCUGCAACUCGAGUGCAUGAAGUCGGAAUCGCUAGUAAUCGCAGGUCAGCAUACUGCGGUGAAUACGUUCCCGGGUCUUGUACACACCGCCCGUCACACCAUGGGAGUGGGGGAUACCAGAAGUAGGUAGGGUAACCGCAAGGAGUCCGCUUACCACGGUAUGCUUCAUGACUGGGGUGAAGUCGUAACAAGGUAGCCGUAGGGGAACCUGCGGCUGGAUCACCUCCUUU